CAACCCCUAUCCUUAUUUGCCAGCGAGUAAUGUCGGGAACUNUAAGGAGACUGCCGGUGACAAACCGGAGGAAGGUGGGGACGACGUCAAGUCAUCAUGGCCCUUACGGGUAGGGCUACACACGUGCUACAAUGGCAAGUACAAAGGGUUGCAAUACGGCGACGUGGAGCCAUNNCCAUAAAGCUUGCCUCAGUCCGGAUUGGAGUCUGCAACUCGACUCCAUGAAGUCGGAAUAGNUAGUAAUCGUGGAUCAGAAUGCCACGGUGAAUACGUUCCCGGGCCUUGUACACACCGCCCGUCACACCAUGGGAGUGGACUGCACCAGAAGUGGUUAGCNUAACUUUCGGGAGGGCGAUCNUCCUUNGGGU
rnacentral:rRNA from 1 species